rnacentral:misc_RNA from 1 species
GAUGAAGAACGUAGCGAAAUGCGAUAAGUAAUGUGAAUUGCAGAAUUCAGUGAAUCAUUGAAUCUUUGAACGCACAUUGCGCCCGCCAGUAUUCUGGCGGGCAUGCCUGUUCGAGCGUCAUUUCAACCAUCAAGCCCCCGGCUUGUGUUGGGGACCUGCGGCUGCCGCAGGCCCUGAAAACCAGUGGCGGGCUCGCUAGUCACUCCGAGCGUAGUAAUACAUCUCGCUCAGGGCGUGCUGCGGGUUCCGGCCGUUAAAAAGCCUUAUUUACCCAAGGUUGACCUCGGAUCAGGUAGGAAGACCCGCUGAACUUAAGCAUAUCAAUAAGCGGAGGA